AGAGAAAGAACAGGGGACCCAGGGGACUUGUGCUCAGCAUAUUGAGGACCUGCACCAUCACUGGUCUCUGAGUUCCCUCAGUAUUUAUUAUUAUUUCCACUAUCUCAGCAAGGGAAAUGCAGCAGGAGAGCAGGGUGAUAGUGGGGAGAAGGUCAGCAAGAAAACAUGUGAGCAAAGGAAUCUGUGUCACAAAUAAGUUCAAGGGAAGGAACUAUGCCUAGAUGUGCUCGUAGGCCAGAUUUGUGCUUUUCUCCACCCAAACAUCUCAGUGGAGUAAAGAGUAACAAAGCAGCAUUGCUGCCAACAUGUCUCGCUUCCUGCCACAAGGCAGUUUUUCUCCUAUCUCAGAACUGAACAAAUGUACAAUCGGGUUUUAUACCGAGACAUUCCAUUCCCAGGAGCAGGCAGAAGACAGAGGCCUUACUCUUAUCUCAACUGCAAGAGGCCUUCCUCUUUUACUAAUCCUCCUCAGCACAGACCCUUCACGGAUGUCAGACUGGGGGCCGGUCAGGUCUUUCCCAUCCCACAAGGCCUUAUCGCAGGCUAUCACAUGGGGAGAAACCUUGGACAAUACCUGGCUUUCCAGGGCAGAGGUCCCUGUGGCUUUCCGCAGUGCAUUGUGCCCCUGGUUUAUUGAGAAUGGAGAAUGGAGAUGACUUUUACCAAGCAUACUGCCUGUAGACAUUUUGUUAACAAAGCACAUCUUGCAUAGCCCCAGAUCCCUUAAACCUUGAUUCCACACAAUACAUGUUUCUGUGAGCUCAAAGUUGGGGCUAAAGUUACAGAUUAACAGCAUCUCAGGGCAAAGCAAUUGUUCAAGGUACAGGUCAAAAUGAAGUUUCUUGUCUUCCUUUUCUACAUAGACACAGUGGCAGUCUGAUCUCUCUUUCUUUUCCCUACAUAUCCCCCUUUUCUUUUUGACAAAACCGCCAUCGUCAUCAUGGCCCGUUCUCACUGGUCACUGUCUCUUCGGAGCUGCUGGAUACACCUGUAGACUAACAACAGACAGAACAGACAUACAAGGAUUAAUAUGAAACUUACAAUAGUGGAACGCCUGAUGGUUUUAACCCAAGUGACAGUGCUAAGAUUUGUGAGGCCAUCAGCAGCUUUGACGAUUGCCUCAGUUUCUGGCACCAGAUUUAAAUGGGCUUUUGAUGCCUCAAAAAUUUGUCAUUUUAAUUUUGAAAUAUCCAAAGUAAGAUUAUCUUUUCUUCCUUGUAGAUGGCAUCCAACCAUGUCCCAGUGAUGCUCAGACUCAUUAUAGGCUCGGGGUGUAGUACAAAAAUCUGACGUAUUCCAGUCACACUGUAACUGAAAAAGAUAUUCCAAGCUCAUGAGCCUAUCUCCCAUCCAAAUGACAGUUUGUCUAAGAUCAUUAAUUUGGUUUGCCAAUUUUUGAUCUAUUUGGGUCUGAGAAUUCCACAAUUUUGAGGAAUUCUUUUGCCAAUUAUUUACAUAUUCUGCAGUUUGAACAGAGGAGUAUAAAGCAAUUCCAGCAGCCGCAGCAGUAGCUGUGACUGCAAUAAGACCCACAAUCACUGCAGUUAAAGUAAAAAUGAAUCUUUUGGAUCUAGUUAGAACUCUUUUUAAUACUUCUGUUAUAAUAUGGACAGAUGGGGAAGCCUCCCACGGUUGGUCCAUGGACACACGGAUUCACACGCCCUCUCUUGCCCUCACCAGCAGAAUAUAGUGCUGCCAAUCAAAAGUCGAAUCAAUGCAAGUAAGCAAUCUACAAUUUUCACAGGCUAUAGUUUGGGAAUCUCGUUUAGUAACUAUGUUUCUUACAACUAGCAUAUGAGGAGGUUUUACACAACUGUGCAAAGGAAUUGUCAGAUUGGAAUUUAGGUUAGUAGUAUAAUAUGGCUUAUGAUCUCUUGUUCCUAUAGCUUGAUUUCCAGACAAAAUUGUAAUGUGGUGCAAGGCCACAGUAAGCUUCCAUAAUUCCGGAUGUUCAGGACCAGUAGCAGGACUAACUAACUUUGGUCGAGGUGAUGAAAUUCCCUUUUCACUCCAUUUCCAUGGAUAGGGUGAUUCUAACUUUCUGUAAACCUGGUCCAGUCUUUUAGUUAAAUCACUAUCAUAGGCUGGAUUAGCGGGCCAGAUG
ensembl:lncRNA